CGAGAACGUGUGAGUAACACGUGGGCACCCUGCCCCGAAGAACCGGUGACAACCGAGGAAAACUCGGUGCUAAUACCAGGAUAGUUGGUUGCUCUUCAUAAGGAUGAGCUAGCGAUAGGAAGCCUUCGGCCGUCCGCUUCUGGGGAUGGGCCCUGCGGUCCAUUAUGCUUGUUGGUGAGGUAACGGCUCACCAAGGCUUCCGAUUGGGUAAGCUGGUCUGAUGAGGACGAUCAGCCAGCACUGGGUACUGAGACACGGUCCAAACUCUAUAGGGAGGCAGCAGUGGGGAAUCUUGCGCAAUGGGCGACAGCCUGACGCAGCAACGCCGCGUGAGGGAAGAAGGCUUCGGGUCGUAAACCUCUUUCAGGAGGGACGAAGCUUCGGGGAGUGAAUAGCUCUCCGGAGUGACGGUACUUCCACAAGAAGCCCCGGUUAAACUACGUGGCCAGCCGCCGC
rnacentral:rRNA from 1 species